rnacentral:tRNA from 1 species
GCGGUAGUAGCUCAGUGGUAGAGCCCCAGCUUCGCUUGCGGGGAGACUCGGGUUCGAUUCCUGGCUACUUCC